GACGAACGCUGGCGGCGUGCUUAACACAUGCAAGUCGAACGGAAAGGCCCUGCUUUUGUGGGGUGCUCGAGUGGCGAACGGGUGAGUAACCCGUGAGUAACCUGCCCUUGACUUUGGGAUAACUUCAGGAAACUGGGGCUAAUCCCGGAUAGGAGCUCCGGCUGCAUGGUGGGGGUUGGAAAGUUUCGGCGGUUGGGGAUGGACUCGCGGCUUAUCAGCUUGUUGGUGGGGUAGUGGCUUACCAAGGCUUUGACGGGUAGCCGGCCUGAGAGGGUGACCGGCCACAUUGGGACUGAGAUACGGCCCAGACUCCUACGGGAGGCAGCAGUGGGGAAUAUUGCACAAUGGGCGGAAGCCUGAUGCAGCAACGCCGCGUGCGGGAUGACGGCCUUCGGGUUGUAAACCGCUUUCGCCUGUGACGAAGCGUGAGUGACGGUAAUGGGUAAAGAAGCACCGGCUAACUACGUG
rnacentral:rRNA from 1 species